rnacentral:rRNA from 1 species
CCUACGGGUGGCAGCAGUCGAGAAUCAUUCACAAUGGGGGAAACCCUGAUGGUGCGACGCCGCGUGGGGGAAUGAAGGUCUUCGGAUUGUAAACCCCUGUCAUGUGGGAGCAAAUUAAAAAGAUAGUACCACAAGAGGAAGAGACGGCUAACUCUGUGCCAGCAGCCGCGGUAAUACAGAGGUCUCAAGCGUUGUUCGGAAUUACUGGGCGUAAAGCGUGCGUAGGCUGUUUCGUAAGUCGUGUGUGAAAGGCGCGGGCUCAACCCGCGGACGGCACAUGAUACUGCGAGACUAGAGUAAGGGAGGGGGAACCGGAAUUCUCGGUGUAGCAGUGAAAUGCGUAGAUAUCGAGAGGAACACUCGUGGCGAAGGCGGGUUCCUGGACAUUAACUGACGCUGAGGCACGAAGGCCAGGGGAGCGAAAGGGAUUAGAUACCCCAGUAGUC